CUAAAAAAAGCGAUAUCAUCGAUAAGAGGUAUAAUGUUUCUAAAAUUAAAAUCGAAAAAAAAAAAAUUUGCGUGCGACUAUUUUUCGGUAAUUUAGUAUCGUGCUACACUCAUCGCAACCAAAUUUUCACCAAUCAAACUCAAGUUAAAGUUCUCAACAGCACAUUGUCACGUGUACUUUAGCACACAUCAGUUGCAAUUUCGAUUGAGUGGAGAAAAGAAGAUAAAAAUAAUAAGAAGGAGAAGAGGAAGAAAAAUUCAAGAGUUUAUUCAAAAGAAAUUUUACCGCAAAAUAGCAACAUAACCUGCCGAUAGCAAUUUUUCGUUGCAACUGAUGCAUUCAACCACAUAUCCUUCAGCCAUUAUUUGUGUCCUUAUGGUCAGAACAAACAACAAGUGACAGAGCAGACACAAAAACUCUCGACAAAAAUGAGAUUCUGUCUUAGUUUGCUUCUCUAACUCUGCAGAGAAAAAUACUAGUUGUAAACAAGGAAUAUUUUUACACCAAAUAGUUCAUCUUUCAUCUAUUCUCCAAGCAAGCACAUUUCGAUUUGAAGACAGUGCAAGUAGAAAGGAAGAAAUCGUGCGCGCCGCAAACUUUGUUAAACUCCACAAGCAACAGCAAAUGCUACGUGCAAUUAUACUGCUACAACAGUAAGGGGGAUUUUAGCGGUGUUACAGCAAUCAUUUCUACACUCUUCUCUAAUCGUUUGCCAGCGGGCAAGUAAGCAAUUAAAGUUCGGAAUUCUUAAGCAGUCGAAGACAAAUGUGUCGAUUGUGGGGCUGAAUAUGUUUGUCAAUGAUGAAGGGAAAUUUGAAUAUUCUUUGGAUGAUUUAGCCGAGUUGCAGUUUCAUAGUAAUUUAUACGGACUCAUCAGCGAUUUUACAGUUAACGUCAACUUCUUACACAACUCGGUGGGUAUGGCGACAGCGGAGUAAGAAGUAGGAGCUAAGUUUUGCAAAAUAUAUUUGUUGGAAUUUCGUUUGAAAUAAUCACGAAAAACCUUUGUGGUUAAAAAAAUUAAAAAAAAAUUUAUCUAAAGGA